rnacentral:lncRNA from 1 species
GGUUACUUUCUCAGCUGUAACCAGGAGGCAGGGAAGAAGGCAAUGCAGUCCUCAUUCUUUAGAGACUCAACCUGUGUCCCCAGCCCUCCCCACCUCCUCCCACACCCCCCUCCAAACUCAGCUUGGCUGGGAAAGGAAACUCCCCAGUCUGCUGUGCUCCUGCAAGCUGAGUGUUUGCAGGUGAAUCUACUCCAGGCCGUGAGCGCCCCAGAGGUGGGAACUAUAUCUUAGUCACCCUUGUACUUUCAAGCCUCACAAUGGGACCUGCCGAAAAAAGGGCACUCAGUAAACGUCUUGUGAACGCAUGAAUUGGGCAGCUGUUGGUGUACGUGUUUUGUUUCUGAUGCUGAGACCCUUCCUGAACCGGAUCUCCAUCCCUUCACUGAGCAGGGUUCACACAUAUUUAUGUUGGAGUGCAAAGGCUUCCGAUGCCCGGACACGUGUCCUCCAAUCUGAGAAGGGAACCAGGGAAGGGGCUGGAGUUGAUGCAUCUUGACUUAAGGGCUGAAGAGUUGGCAAUUUUGGAGGCCAGUGAAGAGCCACGUAGAAAAUGUCCCGCUGCCUGCCAUCAU